GAUGAACGCUGGCGGCGUGCCUAAUACAUGCAAGUCGAGCGAACAGACGAGGAGCUUGCUCCUCUGACGUUAGCGGCGGACGGGUGAGUAACACGUGGAUAACCUACCUAUAAGACUGGGAUAACUUCGGGAAACCGGAGCUAAUACCGGAUAAUAUAUUGAACCGCAUGGUUCAAUAGUGAAAGACGGUUUUGCUGUCACUUAUAGAUGGAUCCGCGCCGCAUUAGCUAGUUGGUAAGGUAACGGCUUACCAAGGCAACGAUGCGUAGCCGACCUGAGAGGGUGAUCGGCCACACUGGAACUGAGACACGGUCCAGACACCGACGGGAGGCAGCAGUAGGGAAUCUUCCGCAAUGGGCGAAAGCCUGACGGAGCAACGCCGCGUGAGUGAUGAAGGUCUUCGGAUCGUAAAACUCUGUUAUUAGGGAAGAACAAAUGUGUAAGUAACUAUGCACGUCUUGACGGUACCUAAUCAGAAAGCCACGGCUAACUACGUG
rnacentral:rRNA from 1 species